ACAUACGUAAAGAAAUUCGGCAACGGGAACGUUCUGUGCAAAGUACAUCUACAUUUUGCACGAAGACAACCAGUUCAUCUAGUGACGCGACGGGGUGCGACAGAAACGAUUCACAAAAUGGGCAAUCCUGCUUGCCCGUUCGGAACUAUUGUAAAACAGAAAUCGAUGACCGUUACGACGUUAUGAGUCCAACGACCUGCUCGCCCGUUCGGAACGACUGCGAAGAAGAUAUCCACGACUGUUAGGACGGACGCGUAGUUAUGAGGUGAAAUUAGAAGAGCUAUUGAGGUACAGAUAAACGCAAGUGAGGCCGAGGACUCGGUC